UGGGCAUAGUUCCAAAUUGCUCUCCAAAAUGGUUAGAUCAGUUCACAACUCCACCAACAAUGCAUUAGUGUUCCAAUUUUCCCACAUCUUCUCUAACAUUAUCAUGUUCCUGUUUUGUCAUAUCAGCCAAUCUGAUAGGUGUGAUGUGGUAGGUACCUCAGAGUUGUUUUGAUUUAUAUUUGUCUCAUCAAUAGUGACUUAGGACAUUUUUUCAUAUGGCUAUAGAUAGCUUUAGUUUCUUGCUCUGAGAAUUGCCUGUUCAUAUCCUUUGACCAUUUAUCAACUGGGAAAUGACUUAUAUUCAUAUCAACUUGACUUAGUUCUCUAUACAUUUUAGAAAUGAGUCCUUUAUCAUAGACAUUUGUUGUAAAAAUUCUUUUCCAGUUUUCUGCUUCCGUCCUAAUCUUGGAUGCAUUGGCUUUAUUUGUGCAAAAACUUUUCAAUUUAAUGUUAUCAAAAUUGUCCAUUUUGCAUUUCAUAAUGUUCUGUACCUCUCGUUUGGUUAUAAAUUCUUCCCUUUUCCAUAGAUCUGAAAGGUAAACUGUUCCUUGCUCUUCUAGUUUGUUUAUAGUCUCAGUCUUUACAUCUAAAUCGUGUAUGCAUUUUGAUUUUAUCUUGGUGUGGCAAAUAUUUCCUUGAAAGAGAUCAGAGGGCUAGUACUAGAAGGAACUUGGGAGGACAUCUUGCUCAAACCUGCUGUCAUUUUGGAAGUGAAAGGAAUAAUAUGCAGAAAGAUUUAUUAUACAGCCACAUGGAGUGGAGACUCCAGGGCUCCUGGGGCUCCUAAUUCAGUGCUCUUGAUACUACACCAUACAUGCUACUACUAUAAACAUGAGUUUCUACUAUUGACAACUCAAGGAUAGGUUGCUGUUAUCCUUUGCUAAUAAAUGGGGUAAUUUUCAGAGUCUUAUUCACUGAAUUCUUCGUAUUUCUAGACAAUAGGAGUGAGAACAUUGAAACUUUGGAAGCAUCACCAGAGACAAGGUCUGCAUCAUGGAUUCCCAGGUGUUUUCGAACCCUCAGGAAAAAAUUCAAAAAGGGACCAAAAGAGAGAAAAGAUCAACAGAAGGAUCAAGGAAAUUUUCCAUCAACUCAAGGGGAAAUAUCACGCCGUACCAUGGAAAGAAGCUUUGACAACCAAAAUCGAAAGGAAAAAAAGAUUCUCCUUAAGAAGAUAAAAAAACUCCAACGGCUCGAGGCAGAACUGGAAAGAAGAAAUGCAAAAAGAGUCCUAAUGAGGACGGGCAUAAGAGAGAAGCCCAUCUAUUAGAACUAUUCUCAUUACAUCACAUGAAGCGGCACAAAGACCUGUUACAGUGGAGGGAAAGAAGAGAGGGAGAUGAGCAUUGUUUGAACCUUACUGUCAUCAAAUUUGACUCAAGAAGGGAAUAACAUAGGUUUAGAAAUCUAACUUGUCUAAUAUGCAGUAGGAGGGGAAAGAAAAGGGAGGGGGAUGGAAGGGACGGAAGAAGUAGUAAAGGAAAAAGGAAAGAAAAGGGAGGGAGCUGAUAGAAGGGGGGGCAGAUCGAGGGAGGCGGUGGUCAAAAGCAAAACUCUGGUGAAGAGGGAAAGGGAGAAACGAGAAAGAAAAGCAUAAAGGGGCAGGGAAUGGGAUGGAGAGAAAGACACUGAUAGUAAUCAUAACUGUGAAUGACAUGAACUCUCCCAUAAAUGGAAGUGGAUAGCAGAAUACCAAAUUAGAAACACUGAAAACCAGAGGAGAGAUUAAUAAAGUUGAAAUUAAGAAAACUAUUGAACUAAUA
ensembl:lncRNA